GUGGGAAGAGAGGGGUGAAAACUUAUCAAAAGUAAAAUUGGAUUAAGAGUCAAUCAAAAUCCAACUGUGAAUUUAUCAUUUCAAUGAAUUUCAAUGAAUGGUUUAAAAUCUGUUUGAAAUCUAUUUGAAAAUGAAUAUGUAAUAAUAUAGACAUAUCUCCUUUUCAAAGCCAGUAUUGUCAGAUGUAUUCGGAGCAUUAUAAUUCAUGAACAGAGUAGAUGACUAUUUGAAAAGUAUUAAAAUGAGCUGACUUUUCAAUACAAGUGUCUUCACAAUAAGUUUUUCUAUUCUGGGCAAUUCAGAAAUGUAGACAAUUGUGCUAGAAAAAUAAUAUGUAUUGUAAUAUUCAUUGUACAGUAGUAGUGUAGUAAGUGGCAAUUCUGGACAUUACAAGAGACACAAGGAUUAUUUUCUGUGAUUGCACAGAGAAUACUUGGAUUUCUUGUGAAGCUUUUGCAUUGGAAAUGAGAUUCAUCAGUCUGAACAGGGCAGGGUUAGAGCCCUUAGCAACAUGCUUAUUUUGUAGAAGGUCACUCAAUAAUAACUUCCUCUGCCCUCCAAGCUUAUUAAGACUGACUGGCAUAUAUUAAUGAAAACACCUGAUUCUCCAACCAUAAAACCCAGACAAAGACUUUAUUUUAAUAUUAAGGAAGGAACCCUUAAUUAGCAGGGUUUCAAAAAUGUCAGCUUCUUCUAUUAGCUGUUCUGGUCCAUCAAAGCCAUAAUCCCUACUGUCAAAUUUCAUCACAUGAUAGACAGUUUGCCGGCUGUCUUUUUUUUUUUUUUUUUUAACUGAUCAUACUGACUGAAGCCUUUUAAAAAUUUUUUUAUUUUGCCAUCACAUUUUACAACUCAUUGUGCAUUUGCCUGUUACACUCUUGAUUUUACUACUUUCAAAGAGUCUUAGCACAUGUCAGCUCAAAAAGGUGGGGGGAAACACUGCUGAAACACAAGUAUUACAUGUGAAUACAUAUGCAUUCUUAGACGUAUAAUUAAGGAUUCUUGGAAGACCUGGGCUUGCUUAUAUUGAUUGCCUGCCUGAGUAUGUAAAUGUGCUGUCCCGAAAACACAGAUAAAUAAAAUGGUCUCAGAGAUGAUUUCCCAUUUUUUGAUGUAUCAAGGAGAAGGGGGCAAAUUCUAAGGAAGAACCCAGGAUUUUUUUACGGGAAACGUUCGUCACUGUUAACCAUUAACACACCUGUCUGUUGCAAGGAACUCAUUAGAGCAUCUAUGGCUUUGCAUUGCCCUUCAGAAGGAAGAUAAAAUGACUGCACCCAGCAGGACAGAAUAAAUAUAUAGCUCUUAGAGUACUUGGGUUUUAAUCUGAUUCAAAACAUUUGCUGUUGAUUAAAUCCUUUUGCAAAUUGAAAAAUUCAUACUAUCCAUACUGAGAGGAAUAUAAAAACACAACACCAAAUCAAAAACAAGGAUGACUCAAGGAUUUCAUGGGAACUUUUGUGAAGACUCAACUGCAGCUCUUGCUUUAUCCAUGGGAGAACAUGGAAGCCUCAAGGGCAAGAGUUUUAGUGUUCUGGAAUGAAUUACCAUGACUAGAAGCUCAAGAAUGAACUGAUGGAGACGGCUGAGACUUGGCAGAUUUAACUGCUAGAGACUGGUAAGCUCAUACCUGUGCUCUUUCAUGAGGAUCUGGGGCUCAUCGGAGAACACAGUGUGUUUUCUUAGCUCACCCGUUUGUAUCAGUAACGGAAUGGGCAAACUGUAUCCAUUUUUACUAGUACCCAGGUAUUUAUUUUCCCCUUUUUGCUUUAACAUUUUUUUUCUUCCUAGACUCCAGGCUAGAAAGGCUAUCCCUCUUAGAAUUUUGCAUAUCCUUUACUUAGCCAUUUCUUCCACGUGGAGAGCAGAAGUGUUCUCCACUGAGCUUUGGGAGACCCGCCCAGGGAGGAGCUGGGGUGAUCUCAAAUCCCCAUGCCCAACGUUCAGAGGUUUUCACAAUAGUGAAGCUCACUUGGUUCCUUUGCCCAGGAACAAGUCUUUCUGUUUCCAUCACUGACCACCCCUUUGAUUUUCUUAGCAUCUAUUCUACUGUCUCAUCAGCCUUGCAUAUCCGCGGACACAAAGCAAAGCCAAAUAAUCCCAAUUUCAAGCCACUAAUGAGUCAUUGUUACUGUAAUGCUUCUUGGUUGCUUCUGUAGAUGAAAUCGAGAUAGGUUACCAGAAAACGCACCUUCAACUAUUAGCUGAAUUUACAGCCAGCCCUUUCAUACGAUCUAAUGGCCAUGGUGACUGUCCACAAUUACAAAGUCUCUUGUUCUCCUUUUAAUUGCAUCAUUUAGAAGUCCCAUAGCUGAGACUGAUGAAUUCCUGCCUUUUCUGCUGAACAUUCAAAAGAGGCACCUUCCAGGAUAGCCAGAUAAGAAAGGGAUGUUUCUUGGACUCAAAACAUUUAUUUAGGUAUUCAGGACAGCCAGGUGCAGUUUUAUGACUAAUGGUAUACCCAAAGUGGGCUAUGUUUUAGAAGGUUUUCUAAUACUUACUUUUACAUGCUUCUAAUGGAGAAUACUGGUUAGGAAUGCAGACUCUAAAGGCACGUGACCUGGGAUCAAAACCAUUACCCACCUUGGGCAAGUUACUCUACUGUUUCCUCAACUAUAAACUAGAGCAAAUAAUGUUAUCUACCUAACUCUUGUCAAAAUUAAGUAAGAUAGCGCCCGCAAUGUGCCAAACAAAGCAUAUGGCAUAUAUUGAGUGAUCAGUGAGUGUAACCAUCUGUUAAUUCACUGCAGUAAGCUUCCUGAGGGCAGACAAAGCCAUUUCUGUCUAAUUCCCUGCUACAGCUCCUGGUACGUGGUAGGCAAUCGCUUUAUGUUGAGCGAGUGAAUAAAUAAAUAGCAUUACAAUUUUACUAAGAAAUGAGCUGAUUUCAAGGGUUUGGUAAAUGUUUGAGUCCCACAGUAAUAUGGUGGCUUAUUGAUUUUGCUUAUCCAUUCAUCAUAUUAACAGAAGCCUAUGCUUGGGCCAUCAAGUCUAUUCUGCUGAGACUUUCAAUCAAAACUGUGGCACAGUCAUUAGGACCUCGAGAAAGCCACUUGAGUUUGAUUCAGAAGCACAUUAAUAAAGUCAGGCUGAGAAACAGGAAAGUAGUGUGGUUGGCAUCCCAGAAAAUCGAUAUCCAACAUUUGUAGGAGCUUUGAGGAGUGUGUACUUCGAGCAAGAGGCAAUCUUUGGUUGGAAAAGUCAGCAUUUCUUAUCACCUCCUGGAGGCAGUUUGACAUUCCUCAUCUGGAACAGAAUGUUAUCCACUGCGAUGUGGUCCUUCCCACCUCCCCACUAUAAAGGUUGUUGUCAUUGUAAGUCAGAGGAAGACUGGUGAUGCAGAACUUGAGGGGGCUGCCAACGCCUACAUCCGGUGCAGGCUCAGGUCAGGCAAUCAUUCCUGCCUCAUAUUCUAGUGCUCUGCUUUGUUUGAGACAUUGCAUUGAUUGGAGGCAGGGUUGCAUUUUUCUCUUGGGAGUUGGAAAGGGCAGGGUUUAAAACCUAGCUAUGUCCAUUUCCAUGGGAGCCUGAAGAGGUUGUUUAACCUUUUCAAGCCUCCAUUUUCUCACCUGUAAAAUGGAGAUUUUGUACUUACUCUUCGGAUUUGAUGAGAUGAGUAAUGUGCUUAGCGUACACUAAGGGGUUAAUAGACGGCAGCCAUAAUUGUAAUAGUUACUACCCAUGUGUUCACUUUCACCCGAGUCAGAUUUGAUAAGAGAAACCAAUACAUGCCACACAGCAUACUAUUUUGCAAAAUAUUUAGAAAUUCCCCAAACUGUUACUACUCAUGUUUUCAAUGUAUCUCAACCAUAAUCCUCUUCAAGUCCUUCUAGUUGUCAAAACAGCCUGAUUAAACAGUGGGAAUUUGAUACUAUGCUUGUUUUGCCUCAUUAGCACAACAGUGUGAACAGGGACGGGGUGGGGGGGCACCUGAGAGGGGGCGUCGGAGCAGAACGGCUAAGUAGGAAAACUAGUGGCCUCAGAAUGCAGACCGUCUUCUCAGGAACGGUUCUCAUAAUUUAUUCCUGCUCAGAUUGAAGGAAAACAGGAUGGGGCAUUUGUUUUCAAAUAGGGAACUGGACGUAAACGGCAUGACUUUUACAAACUUUGCAGUUUGCUGAGACCACGGGAUGGAGUACUGAGACUGGCUACCUCAGACACGAGGAGGAUUAAACAGGGAUUCCUUGCAGCUUUGUGCUCAUCCAAUAAGGGGGCUACAGGAGAAAGCAAAAGCAAACAGCAGAACACUAAACGGAGGAGGAGUCUUUUGGCUUCCUGAGUUACCUGCAUCCUUUUGCAAGGCUGAGUCAGUAUCCCUAGUCCUACUGGCAUUUGUGCAAUUUCUUCAAGCUCACAGCUCUGUCUCACUUACUGUCUUUAAGUCACAUACAUUAGGGUUCAUGUAUUCAAACAAGAAUGCCGUAACUACACGAGUUAGACUGGGAGCGGAGAGCCCUGGAGCAGAACCACCCUGGUGGAAAGCAGGAGAUCUGGCCGCCGUCCAGCGAGGAGCCUGGCAUGACAGAGGAAGAUGUAUCUGUACACCACGCUGCCGUGAACGGGAAGGAACCCAGGAAGUGCCUUUGCGGUGUGCGAGUCGGAGAGGUGAUGGGGUUUGACGUUCACGAAGGGGAGAGCCUGAGGAGGCCGCAAAUGGGGCAGGCCCUGGACGUGGAGCUCCAGGACAAGGCAGGAAAGUACGCAACGGCAGCCCCUAGCCAUCACGGAUGCCGUCCGGGUCGCAGGGGUCCACCCGCAGUUCCUGCCAGAACCGCCAGCAGGGUCAGAGUGGGGAAAGGAGGACGCGUGGGGAGAGUGCUCCGAGGCCAGGAGCCCUCAGCACUGCAGGACUCAGCUCGCACGUGGCCACAGGUGCAGAGCCGAGAGGUGGCAACCACCGCGGGUGCAGGGAGAAGUGCUGGAGGGCACCAUACCUGGGUGCCGAAGAACAAGGUAGACCAGUGAGACAGUCUGUAUGGCAGUUACAGACCACCAUGCUGCUGGGGGCCCUCCCGCCUCCCACUGCCUACAGAAGACCAGGCAAGUGAAUGGGAUGAGACCCAAGGUCAGCAGCCACCUCAGCGCUGGUCACAGACGCCCAGAAAACAAAAGCAGCCCCGCUGCGGAUCUGUCUGGUCCCGAGGUAGAGCAGGGCAGGGCUGAGCAAACGCGACCUACAUCUCUACCAUCAUCCUGUCUAGUCAUCCAACAAGAAGAAAUGAAUUGGAAAUUCCAGGAACGAGAAAACGGUGCCAAAGAUCAGAAGCGCUUGCUUUUUUUUUUUUUUUUUUUUUUUUUUUUUGCUCACUGACCAGAUGACGAGAACUACCUGUGUUAUCUGUGCAGCAUGGGGUUUUUAUUUUGACCUUAAAGACAUCUCUUUUUGCUAAUGACAAAUACUUUUUCUUCUCUCUCUCUCAAAGUCUGGCUUUUCUCAACACACCUUGAAAGGGUUUUAAUUGCUUCGUAUCUGGUCAAGGGGAGACUUUUAAGAACCUCCUUUUUAAUUUGUAAUAAAAGUUUAGAACUUGAUUUUUUUCAAAAAAGUCAACAAACAGCAAUCACCUGUUAAUAAAGGUCUUCAGAAAAACAAGAGUAUGAUAGAUAUGCUAUUGUUUCUAUGAAUUUCUUCCUACUAGUGGGGAAGGUACACAUCUACCCUGUUGUGUAAAAGAUUUCACAAAGCCACAUGCUUGCAUCUUAGGAAAGCAAAAGAACUGAGCUGGCUUUCUCUAAGACAAAUAAAGCAAAACAAACUAUGCUGUUUUUUACUCAAUACCUUUUCUAGUCUGAUCUGCUCCCACGAUGUCUUGGGGAAAUUCAGACAUACAGCCAAGAAAAGGUGAGGGAGAUAUGGGCUUCCAGCCUCAGACUGGAGACAAACCCUCUUACUGCAUGCUGGUUAUUUAUUCUCACUAGGUUCGCUACGUUUGUGUAUAAAAGAAAGACUGAAUUAAAAAGAUGAUCUACUCUG